CCCUUAGAUGUUCUGGGCUGCACGCGCGCUACACUGACGCACGCAACAGGUGCCUGCUCCGAGAGGACUGGGUAAUCAUUUGAGUGUGCGUCGUGAUGGGGAUAGAAUAUUGUAAUUAUUACUCUUCAACGAGGAAUUCCUAGUAAGCGCCAGUCAGCAGCUUGCGCUGAUUACGUCCCUGCCCUUUGUACACACCGCCCGUCGCUCCUACCGAUGGGUGAUCCGGUGAAUGAUUCGGACUUCAGCGGCUCCCCUGGGGUGCGCCGGAGAAGGUUUUGUGAACCUUAUCACUUGGAGGAAGGAGAAGUCGUAACA
rnacentral:rRNA from 1 species